CAUUUAGUGAAGCUCGUAUAUUGUAAAACUCUAAAAGAAGAAUAAAAGGAAAUGUUGGCAUUACAGAUUAGAAGAGGUAAAUGUACAAAGCAUGCCUCAUACAAUAAGUAUAAAGAGAACAAACAAUGGAGGCUAGAGGCUAUGCUAUCAACAAGGGAAUAUGCUAAAAAAUGAACAUAUUAACUGGCUAGCAAAAAGCCUCAUGCUAACAGGUAAGCAGAUAUAAGCAUAGCAUGUACAAGUUUAGAGUAAAUGUGUUUGCGGAGUAAACAUAGUUCACGCUAAAGGCAAGAAAGAAAGGGUUUUCUACAUCAAAAUCUUUCCAACAAAAACAUUUACUUACAGACAAUGCGUCUAACAGGUAUCACAACAAAAGAUGACAUGAAAUUUUGGAGCUGAGAUUCAUGGCUUAAAUGCCACAUGAAGACUGACACAAAAUGGCUACUUCCUAUUUUUUAGCAAACUGCACCAUCACCGACCAACACGAGGGGCAUGAACAUACAUAAAACCACACAUUGUCCAGAACAAUACACUUUUACUUUUUAUUAGUGAAUUUGACAAGGACAAGAAUACAUCAUGAACUCACAAUGUCAUUUUCACCGCUUCAUGCAAAAGCAUAAGAAUACCCCAACUCCGAGCUAAGCAUCUUUAGAUUGCGUUUGUCUUUUUUGAAAUGCCUGUACAUUGUGCAGCCCUAGCAAUAGACUGUAGAUACCAUACCUUUGAUGUUCCUCCAAUCACAUCCCCAUCUGUUCCUGUUGCAUAUUUGGCACAGUCGUUAUUGUAGUUUCUGCAUAAUAUCUGUCAACAAAAUCUUGUUCUCCCCUUUGUAAUAACAAACAAAAUAAGCAUUUUGACAACUGGCACAUCAUUAUCUUGAUUUACGACAACAGCAAAAAGACAAAAAAGCACAAGAGUUGGAAUUUUAAAUAGACUUAAAUUUGCUGGUGUAUGUGUGUUUCUCUGUGUUUGUCAAGUGUGUGCGUGUGCGCUGUGGGGGGUUUGGGGGGGGGGGGGGGUCCUGCUCCUCAGCCAAUCCAGUGGCAUGGGGAGAAUUGCUAGGACACGUCCCGUUAACAGUCUCUCUAAAACAGUCCUAUGGUUUGGUCAUCAUGGUAAAGCCAUCAGUCUUUAGGUUAUGGUUCAUGGCUGAUGCCUCUCUCUCCCGCUCUCUCCGUCUCUCAUUCUCUCUCUCUCCCUCUCCCUCCCGCCCUCUCUCUUGUCCCUCUCUCUCUCUCUCUUUUCUCUCUCUCUCUCUUGUCCCUCUCUCUCUCUUGUUCCUCUCUCUGUCUC
ensembl:lncRNA